AUGAGAUUGAGAUUAAGUCGAUAAAUACAACAUUGAUUAUUAGAACCUUGAUGUAGUUUUGAAUUAUGACUCAGAUCUUGUGCUUGUUUGAAACUGGUAUAAAAAGGGUAGCACGUAAUAAUGUUUGUGUUGACUGAUUAGUUAAAAUUGAUACAUAAAUAGUUUCUAAAGUGUAAUGCUAGUGUAAAUCAUAGAAGGACAAGAAUAGGCAGUGAAGACGACGAAUUAGACAAGAACCUAAGUUUGGGGGAUUAGGUAGGGUAUAUAGGCUUCGAAAAAAAAAGAGAAAAUAAUAUCUAGUUGAGUUUUGUGGUGGGUUGAGAAGAAAUACUCCCCAUAAACAUGAGCGUGUGAUGGAGCGUAAAAUGCACUCACCAACCAUCUAUCCAGUAUAUUAAAAAAAUGAAGAAAAGUCGGGAAAUAAGAGCAUAGAGCCCCUCGUCAAUGAAAAAAAAAAGAAAGAAAGAAAAGCAAGCAUGAAUACCCUAUUUGGACCCCUAAUCUUGGUCAAUGUUUGAUUUUAGUUAGAACUUGUCUAUUUUUGAAAUUUUUGAGUUAUUCUGUAUGAUUCCUAAUAAGAAAUUGAUUAUGUGUUGAAUCUAAAUUAGAAUCAGUUAGCAUAGAUGUUGCUCACACACGCACUAUAUCAGUAAUGAGGGUCUAAGAUUCAAGGAUUGAGGAGAAACUACUGAGUGGUUUUGAUAUGAGGUGUUGAAAUGUUUUCUUGAUCUUCCUGAGGCCGGA
rnacentral:lncRNA from 1 species